UAGUAACGGCGAGUGAAGCGGCAACAGCUCAAAUUUGAAAUCUGGCUUCGGCCCGAGUUGUAAUUUGCAGAGGAAGCUUUAGGCGCGGCACCAACUGAGUCCCCUGGAACGGGGCGCCACAGAGGGUGAGAGCCCCGUAUAGUUGGACGCCUAGCCUGUGUAAAGCUCCUUCGACGAGUCGAGUAGUUUGGGAAUGCUGCUCAAAAUGGGAGGUAAAUUUCUUCUAAAGCUAAAUACCGGCCAGAGACCGAUAGCGCACAAGUAGAGUGAUCGAAAGAUGAAAAGCACUUUGAAAAGAGGGUUAAAUAGCACGUGAAAUUGUUGAAAGGGAAGCGCUUGUGACCAGACUUGCGCCCGGCUGAUCAUCCGGUGUUCUCACCGGUGCACUCUGCCGGGCUCAGGCCAGCAUCGGUUCUCGCGGGGGGAUAAAGGUCCUGGGAACGUAGCUCCUCCGGGAGUGUUAUAGCCCAGGGCGUCAUGCCCUCGCGGGGACCGAGGUUCGCGCAUCUGCAAGGAUGCUGGCGUAAUGGUCAUCAGCGACCCGUCUUGAAACACGGACCAAGGAGUCAAGGUUUUGCGCGAGUGUUUGGGUGUAAAACCCGCACGCGUAAUGAAAGUGAACGUAGGUGAGAGCUUCGGCGCAUCAUCGACCGAUCCUGAUGUUUUCGGAUGGAUUUGAGUAGGAGCGUUAAGCCUUGGACCCGAAAGAUGGUGAACUAUGCUUGGAUAGGGUGAAGCCAGAGGAAACUCUGGUGGAGGCUCGCAGCGGUUCUGACGUGCAAAUCGAUCGUCAAAUCUGAGCAUGGGGGCGAAAGACUAAUCGAACCAUCUAGUAGCUGGUUACCGCCGAAGUU
rnacentral:rRNA from 1 species